UGCAGAGGUCCCAAGCGUUGUUCGGAUUCACUGGGCGUAAAGGGUGCGUAGGCGGUCGGGUAAGUCUGAUGUGAAAUCUCACAGCUUAACUGUGAAACUGCAUUGGAUACUAGCCGGCUCGAGGAAUGGAGGGGAGACUGGAAUACUUGGUGUAGCAGUGAAAUGCGUAGAUAUCAAGUGGAACACCAGUGGCGAAGGCGAGUCUCUGGACAUUUCCUGACGCUGAGGCACGAAAGCCAGGGGAGCAAACGGG
rnacentral:rRNA from 1 species